AUCAACUGGGGAGCUUGUUAAAAUGCAUGUUCUGACUCAGUAGGUCCGGGGUGGGGCUGAGAUUCUGUAUUUCUAACAAGUUCCCAAGUGAUGCUGA
rnacentral:pre_miRNA from 1 species